rnacentral:misc_RNA from 1 species
CCGAGUUAGGGUCUCCUCUGUGAGGCCCGACCUCCCAACCCUGUGUCUAUUAAACCUGUAUGUGUUGCUUCGGCGGAACGGCAGUCGACUCCCUUCCGAGGGAGGAUACCGUCGCCGGGGGAAUAACGGUCUCACGACCGCCCCUGGAGAGCGUCCGCCGAUGGCCCCAACCAAACCACUCCCAAACCAAAAUAUUGUACCUAAGAAUUUCUGAAUCAGACCUUUUGAUAUACCAAUCAAAAACA